AUUGAACGCUGGCGGCAUGCCUUACACAUGCAAGUCGAACGGCAGCACGGGUGCUCGCACCUGGUGGCGAGUGGCGGACGGGUGGGUAAUACAUCCGAACAUGUCCUGCAGAGGGGGAGAGCCAGGUGAAGGCCGGUGUAAUACCGCAUACGAACUACGUACGAAAGAAGGGGACGUUCUGGCCUCGCGCCUGCGGGAUGGCCGAUGGCAGGUUGGCUAGGUGGUGGGUUAAAGGCCUACCAAGGCGACGGCCAAUAUCUAGUCUGUGUGGAAGAACAGCCAAACUGGGACUGGGACACGGCCCAGACUCCUACGGGAGGCAGCAGUGGGGAAUUUUGGACAAUGGGCGAAAGCCUGAUCCAGCAAUGCCGCGUGUGUGAAGAAGGCCUUCGGGUUGUAAAGCACUUUUGUCCGGAAAGAAAGCCUUGGCCCUAAUACGGUCGGGAGAUGACGGUACCGGAAGAAUAAGCACCGGCUAACUACGUG
rnacentral:rRNA from 1 species